AAUGAACGCUGGCGGCAUGCCUAACAUAUGCAAGUCGAACGAAGGCUUCGGCCUUAGUGGCGCACGGGUGCGUAACGCGUGGGAAUCUGCCCUCAGGUUCGGAAUAACAGCGAGAAAUUGCUGCUAAUACCGGAUGAUAUCGCGAGAUCAAAGAUUUAUCGCCUGAGGAUGAGCCCGCGUAGGAUUAGCUAGUUGGUGUGGUAAAGGCGCACCAAGGCGACGAUCCUUAGCUGGUCUGAGAGGAUGAUCAGCCACACUGGGACUGAGACACGGCCCAGACUCCUACGGGAGGCAGCAGUGGGGAAUAUUGGACAAUGGGCGAAAGCCUGAUCCAGCAAUGCCGCGUGAGUGAUGAAGGCCUUAGGGUUGUAAAGCUCUUUUACCCGGGAUGAUAAUGACAGUACCGGGAGAAUAAGCUCCGGCUAACUCCGUGCCAGCAGCCGCGGUAACAC
rnacentral:rRNA from 1 species